AAAUUGCGAUAAUUAUUGUGAAUUGCGGAACCCGUGAAUCAUCGAGUUUUUGAACGCAAAUGGCGCCAGUGCUUGCACAGGCACAUCUAUUUGAGUGUUGGUUUUCAUCUACUUCAACUCUACUCUUGUGGAGAGAAGUGAUUCUGAGUGUCCAUUGAUCCGCGGAUGAUGGUCAUUUUAAAUAGAGAAUCAAUUCAAAUUCUUCAGUGACAUUCAGUUGCGCUUGGGAUUUAUUGAUUGCCUAAACUCUACCAACUCUAUUAUCAACCUCAAAUUAGAUGAGAGUACCCGCUGAAUUUAA
rnacentral:misc_RNA from 1 species